GGUGCUUUCUCUCUCUGAGGGACUGGGGGCAGGAGAGAGGGAUGUACGGAAGAGGGCAGGAGAGGGGGAUGUGGAGAUGAGUGCAGUCAGGCCAGCGGUGGUAGUGCACCCCAGGGAGCUGAAGGGCCUCCUUCACAUCUGCACUGUCAUCGCUCAAGGUCUGACCAUUUAGAGCUCUCCAUGCUGGUUAGUUUAACCUUUCUAGGGUAGAGAGGUUAACCCUUACCUGUCCAGGUACUGAGCUGCUGUCUGAGGGGCGGUGUUCAGAGGCCCUGACUGUUCUUCAGAGAGACCCCUCCCCCUUGGCCCCAAGAGACCUGCUGGCCCAAAUACACACCCUCAUACGCCUCUGCCUCAGUGGCAAGGGUCAUCCCGUCAGUGCUGUGUUAUAGGAAGGCUUUGGAGACAGACAUGGGGUGUGUGUGUGCACUGCACCAGAGCCUCCUGGUUAACAGACAGCAGGGAAACACGCAAGCAGAGAUCCAGGCUCUACACCUGAUACACUCCGCUCUGUACAUGCCACCUACCACUCAGCCUGCUGUGGCCCCACCUCCUCUCGUCUGCCCCGCCUCUCUGCUCCCUGGCCAAUCCUUGUCCAGCCUGCUUUCAGUCCCCUCCCACCUCAGCAUACGACACAGUCUGACUCAAAAGUGUGUACUCCA